rnacentral:rRNA from 1 species
GAUGAACGCUGGCGGCGUGCCUAAUACAUGCAAGUCGAGCGAACAGACGAGGAGCUUGCUCCUCUGACGUUAGCGGCGGACGGGUGAGUAACACGUGGAUAACCUACCUAUAAGACUGGGAUAACUUCGGGAAACCGGAGCUAAUACCGGAUAAUAUAUUGAACCGCAUGGUUCAAUAGUGAAAGACGGUUUUGCUGUCACUUAUAGAUGGAUCCGCGCCGCAUUAGCUAGUUGGUAAGGUAACGGCUUACCAAGGCAACGAUGCGUAGCCGACCUGAGAGGGUGAUCGGCCACACUGGAACUGAGACACGGACCAGACUCCUACGGGAGGCAGCAGUAGGGAAUCUUCCGCAAUGGGCGAAAGCUUGACGGAGCAACGCCGCGUGAGUGAUGAAGGUCUUCGGAUCGUAAAACUCUGUUAUUAGGGAAGAACAAAUGUGUAAGUAACUAUGCACGUCUUGACGGUACCUAAUCAGAAAGCCACGGCUAACUACGU